CCUGCGUCGGAGCCUUGCUUGCUUUCCUUCAUUUUGUUCUCCACUUCGCCCACCACGACAACCACGACAACCACGACAACCAGUCAACACUGAUUUGCAAAGGUAGUUACAGAAAAAUAAAAUGGAAAGAAGGAAAAUAAAAUAAGGACCAAUAAAGUGAUGCAAUAGGUAAUUACAAUAUCCGGACCACACAACACACCACUAUGGGUGGUCCAUUCCCAGUAACUGCACAGAGCCUAGAGCAGACGUGUAAAUCAAAGAUGAAUUCAAUUAUCAUCUUUGCGUAAACAAGAGGUUCUCAACUGAUAAAAGUUGCUGCGCACAAGUUGAGUGUUCCAUUGUCUCCGGGUACCUACCUACUGCUUGCCUCACUAAACGUCUCCUAAGACCUUCAAGUCAAUUGUGUAACUCAUUUACUGCGUCGUCGGUUAAGGCCAAAACGCUAUAGUAUGACUAUUGUUGUUCAAAAAUCGAGCAUAACCAAUUCCUAUUUUGUUUGUUUUUACCAAAAUAUCAAGCUUUCCACUUAGAAAAAAAAUAUAUUUAGGUACCUUUCGAAUGCACUGACUAAAAUACAAAAUGACAUUUAAUUGUUACUUGAUGAAUCCAAGUUAAAUCGGCAACAAAUAUGAAAUCGUUAAAAACCGAGUAGUUAUGAGUGAUAGUUUCAAAAGGUUGCCAAAAACUUUGUGGUGUAUGGUUUUUCUUAUGAUUAUUGGAGAGUUUGAUGGAGACUGUUACACCUA